CCUACGGGAGGCAGCAGUGGGGAAUAUUGCACAAUGGGGGAAACCCUGAUGCAGCGACGCCGCGUGAGUGAAGAAGUAUUUCGGUACGUAAAGCUCUAUCAGCAGGGAAGAAAAUGACGGUACCUGACUAAGAAGCCCCGGCUAACUACGUGCCAGCAGCCGCGGUAAUACGUAGGGGGCAAGCGUUAUCCGGAUUUACUGGGUGUAAAGGGAGCGUAGACGGCAGCGCAAGUCUGGAGUGAAAUCCCAUGGCUUAACCAUGGAACUGCUUUGGAAACUGUGCAGCUAGAGUGCAGGAGAGGUAAGCGGAAUUCCUAGUGUAGCGGUGAAAUGCGUAGAUAUUAGGAGGAACACCAGUGGCGAAGGCGGCUUACUGGACUGUAACUGACGUUGAGGCUCGAAAGCGUGGGGUGCAAACAGGAUUAGAUACCCGAGUAGUC
rnacentral:rRNA from 1 species